rnacentral:rRNA from 1 species
UACGUAGGGUGCAAGCGUUGUCCGGAAUUAUUGGGCGUAAAGAGCGUGUAGGCGGCCAAACAGGUCAGCUGUGAAAACUCGAGGCUCAACCUCGAGACGUCGGUUGAAACCGUUUGGCUAGAGUCCGGAAGAGGAGAGUGGAAUUCCCGGUGUAGCGGUGAAAUGCGCAGAUAUUGGGAAGAACACCCGUGGCGAAGGCGGCUCUCUGGGACGGUACUGACGCUGAGACGCGAAAGCGUGGGGAGCGAACAGG